UACAGAGGUCUCAAGCGUUGUUCGGAUUUAUUGGGCGUAAAGAGCUCGUAGGCGGUUGGGUAAGUCGGGUGUGAAAACUCCAGGCUCAACUUGGAGACGCCACCCGAUACUGCUCUGACUUGAGUUCGGUAGGGGAGUGGGGAAUUCCUGGUGUAGCGGUGAAAUGCGCAGAUAUCAGGAGGAACACCGGUGGCGAAGGCGCCACUCUGGGCCGAAACUGACGCUGAGGAGCGAAAGCGUGGGUAGCAAACAGG
rnacentral:rRNA from 1 species